GCUACGGGAGGCUGCAGUGAGGAAUAUUGGUCAAUGGGCGAGAGCCUGAACCAGCCAAGUCGCGUGAAGGAUGACGGCCCUACGGGUUGUAAACUUCUUUUGUCAGGGAGCAAUUGAGUCCACGUGUGGUCUUAGCGAGAGUACCUGAAGAAAAAGCAUCGGCUAACUCCGUGCCAGCAGCCGCGGUAAUACGGAGGAUGCGAGCGUUAUCCGGAAGGACUGGGCGUAAAGGGUGCGUAGGCGGUUUAUUACGGUGGCGGUGUAAUGCCGGGGCUCAACCUCGGCGCUACCGCCAAAACUAUUAGACUAGAGUGCAGGAGGGGUAAGUGGAAUUCCUGGUGUAGCGGUGGCAUGCGUAGAUAUUAGGAGGAACAUCAGGGGCGAAGGCGACUUACUGGACUGUAACUGACACUGAGGCACGAAAGCGUGGGGAGCAAACAGGAUUAGAUACCCCGGUAGUC
rnacentral:rRNA from 1 species